AUGGCAUAAAAUAGGCGUUUGUCCGAUUAGUUAGUUGGUAAGGUAAUGGCUUACCAAGACAAUGAUCGGUAGGGGGCCUGAGAGGGCGUACCCCCACAUUGGUACUGAGACACGGACCAAACUUCUACGGAAGGCAGCAGUGAGGAAUAUUGGUCAAUGGAGGAAACUCUGAACCAGCCACUCCGCGUGUAGGAUGAAGGCCAUUUAGGUUGUAAACUACUUUUGUAUAUGAAUAAAAAAUUCUAUUUUUAGAAAAAAUUGAAGGUAAUAUACGAAUAAGUAUCGGCCAACUCUGUGCCAGCAGCCGCGGUAAUACGGAGGAUACAAGCGUUAUCCGGAUUUAUUGGGUUUAAAGGGUGCGUAGGUUGUUUUUUAAGUCAGUAGUGAAAUCUUAAAGCUUAACUUUAAAAGUGCUAUUGAUACUGAUAAACUAGAGUGAGGUUGGAGUAACUGGAAUGUGUGGUGUAGCGGUGAAAUGCAUAGAGAUCACACAGAACACCUAUCGCGAAAGCAGGUUACUAAACCUAGACUGACGCUGAGGCACGAAAGCAUGGGUAGCAAACAGGAUUAGAUACCCUGGUAGUCCAUGCCGUAAACGAUGAUCACUAACUAUUGGAUAAUAAUUCAGUGGUCAAGCGAAAGUGAUAAGUGAUCCACCUGAGUAGUACGACCGCAAGGUUGAAACUCAAAGGAAUUGACGGGGGCCCGCACAAUCGGUGGAGCAUGUGGUUUAAUUCGAUGAUACGCGAGGAACCUUACCAAAACUUAAAUGUAUUACGAAUAAAUUGGAAACAAUUUAGUCAUUAGACGGAGUACAAGGUGCUGCAUGGUUGUCGUCAGCUCGUGCCGUGAGGUGUGAGGUUAAGUCCUUUAACGAACGCAACCC
rnacentral:rRNA from 1 species